rnacentral:lncRNA from 1 species
UGCCACUCGAUUGUCUAUUUUCCUUUCCGUUGCUUAAACCACCAUCUUGCUCUUAUAACUCAUUUUAUUCAAAGUUUUGCUCGACGAAUUUGGUGAGGAAAAACAUUUUUUUAAAAAAAUAAAGAAAGAAAAUCAAGUGAAUCUUUUUUUGUUCGUAUUUGUUAAUUGAACGAUGCAGAUAACGCGUAACGAAGAAAUUAGAAUCCGGUUGCCGGCG